CAGAGGCCUCUAUCAUUCUCUAUGGUGGUGAACUAAUUGGGUUCUAUGUAGUUUACCACCAGAGGCCUCUAUCAUUCUCUAUGAUAGUUACUGUUUUAGAUGUAGUUUACCACUAGAAGGUGGUGAUGGGCUGUACCAAUGUUAUUUCCAAUUUUUGUAUCAAGACCAAAUAUGUGUGUGUCCGUGUGUUACUCACUUCAUUUCGUCAGUGCUUCUGUGUGUGUUUUUGUGUGUUUAUAUACAGUGAGCACCAAAAGUAUUGGGACAGUGACACAUUAUAUGUAAAUAAGAAUUUGUUCUUAACUGACUUGCGUAGUUAAAUAAAGGUUAAAUAAAUAAAAAAAAUAUUUGUUGUUUUGGCUCUGUACUCCAGCACUUUGGAUUUGAAAUCAAACAAUGACUAUGGGGUUAAAGUGCUGACUGUCAGCUUUAAUUUGAAGGUAAUCUUCAUCCAAAGCGGGCGAACCAUUUAGAAAUUAUAGCAUUUUGUUGUACAUAGUACCCCUCCAUUUUAGAGGACCAAAAGUAUUGGGAC
rnacentral:lncRNA from 1 species